rnacentral:rRNA from 1 species
GUUUGAUCAGUGGCUCAGAACGAACGCUGGCGGCAUGCCUAACACAUGCAAGUCGAACGAGACCUUCGGGUCUAGUGGCGCACGGGUGCGUAACGCGUGGGAAUCUGCCCUUAGGUUCGGAAUAACUUCGGGAAACUGAAGCUAAUACCGGAUGAUGACGUAAGUCCAAAGAUUUAUCGCCUAAGGAUGAGCCCGCGUUGGAUUAGCUAGUUGGUGAGGUAAAGGCUCACCAAGGCGACGAUCCAUAGCUGGUCUGAGAGGAUGAUCAGCCACACUGGGACUGAGACACGGCCCAGACUCCUACGGGAGGCGGCAGUGGGGAAUAUUGGACAAUGGGCGAAAGCCUGAUCCAGCAAUGCCGCGUGAGUGAUGAAGGCCUUAGGGUUGUAAAGCUCUUUUACCCGGGAUGAUAAUGACAGUACCGGGAGAAUAAGCUCCGGCUAACUCCGUG